ACACUGCUGAGGAGUCCCAUAAUAGGACGAAACAGUCGUCCAGUGC
rnacentral:hammerhead_ribozyme from 1 species